GACGAACGCUGGCGGCGUGCCUAAUACAUGCAAGUCGAACGCAUUUUCUUUCACCGUAGCUUGCUACACCGAAAGAAAAUGAGUGGCGAACGGGUGAGUAACACGUGGGUAACCUGCCCAUCAGCGGGGGAUAACACUUGGAAACAGGUGCUAAUACCGCAUAAUUCCAUUUACCGCAUGGUAGAUGGGUGAAAGGCGCUUUUGCGUCACUGAUGGAUGGACCCGCGGUGCAUUAGCUAGUUGGUGGGGUAACGGCCUACCAAGGCUGCGAUGCAUAGCCGACCUGAGAGGGUGAUCGGCCACACUGGGACUGAGACACGGCCCAGACUCCUACGGGAGGCAGCAGUAGGGAAUCGUCGGCAAUGGACGCAAGUCUGACCGAGCAACGCCGCGUGAGUGAAGAAGGUUUUCGGAUCGUAAAACUCUGUUGUUAGAGAAGAACAAGGAUGAGAGUGGAAAGUUCAUCCCUUGACGGUAUCUAACCAGAAAGCCACGGCUAACUACGUG
rnacentral:rRNA from 1 species